rnacentral:rRNA from 1 species
AGUGAACGCUGGCGGUAGGCCUAACACAUGCAAGUCGAACGGCAGCACAGUAAGAGCUUGCUCUUACGGGUGGCGAGUGGCGGACGGGUGAGGAAUACAUCGGAAUCUACUUUUUCGUGGGGGAUAACGUAGGGAAACUUACGCUAAUACCGCAUACGACCUACGGGUGAAAGCAGGGGAUCUUCGGACCUUGCGCGAUUGAAUGAGCCGAUGUCGGAUUAGCUAGUUGGCGGGGUAAAGGCCCACCAAGGCGACGAUCCGUAGCUGGUCUGAGAGGAUGAUCAGCCACACUGGAACUGAGACACGGUCCAGACUCCUACGGGAGGCCGCAGUGGGGAAUAUUGGACAAUGGGCGCAAGCCUGAUCCAGUCAUACCGCGUGGGUGAAGAAGGCCUUCGGGUUGUAAAGCCCUUUUGUUGGUAAAGAAAAGCAGCAGGUUAAUACCACGCUGUUCUGACGGUACUCAAAGAAUAAGCACCGGCUAACUUCGUG